UAAAAAGCUCGUAGUUGGAUUUCUGUUGAGGAUGACCGGUCCGCUCUUUGAGCGCGUACCUGGUUCAGCCUUGGCAUCCUCUUGGGGAACGCUACUGUGCUUGAUUGCAUGGGGCGGUAUUCAAGACUUUUACUUUGAGGAAAUUAGAGUGUUCACUGCAAGCGUUAGCAAUUGAAUACAUUAGCAUGGAAUAAUAAUAUAGGACCUUGGUACUAUUUUGUUGGUUUCUAGAACUAAGGUAAUGAUUAAUAGGGACAAUUGGGGGCAUUCGUAUUAACGCGUCAGAGGUGGAAUUCUUAGAUUGCGUUACGACGAACUACUGCGAAAGCAUUUGCCAAGGAUGUUCUCAUUGAUCAAGAACGAAAGUUAGGUGAUCGAAGACGAUCAGAUACCGUCCUAGUCUUAACCAUAAACUAUGCCGACUGGAGAUCGGGGGUCGUUAGCUUUGUGACGCCCUCUGCAUCUUGAGAGAAAUCAAAGUCUUUGGGUUCCGGGGGGAGUAUGGUCGCAAGGCUGAAACUUAAAGGAAUUGACGGAAGGGCACCACCAGGAGUGGAGCCUGCGGCUUAAUUUGACUCAACACGGGAAAAUUUACCAGGUCCAGACAUAGUAAGGAUUGACAGACUGAUAGCUCUUUCGAGAUUCUA
rnacentral:rRNA from 1 species